rnacentral:rRNA from 1 species
UUAAUUGAAGAGUUUGAUCAUGGCUCAGAUUGAACGCUGGCGGCAGGCCUAACACAUGCAAGUCGAGCGGCAGCACAGAGGAACUUGUUCCUUGGGUGGCGAGCGGCGGACGGGUGAGUAAUGCCUGGGAAAUUGCCCGGUAGAGGGGGGAUAACCAUUGGAAACGAUGGCUAAUACCGCAUAACCUCGCAAGAGCAAAGCAGGGGACCUUCGGGCCUUGCGCUACCGGAUAUGCCCAGGUGGGAUUAGCUAGUUGGUGAGGUAAGGGCUCACCAA